AGACUCAUGGAUCUUACUAAAUGCUAACUCCAGUAUGUAGAAGUUUUCUUUCUUGGACGUCUACACAUCCUUUAAUAUCGGCUAGUAAUUUUAGUUAGCAGUUGAAGCUUGAAAUCUUGGGUUGAAACGGGUGCUAUGCUCGUCUUCACCCAAGGGCAGUUUACUGCAGAAAGAAGAAGUGUGGUCACACAUACCAACCAGUUGAGGCCGAAGAAGAAGAUCAAGUAAUUGAUGGAACCCUCAUGUAAGAGAAAAACAGAGCAGAGAAGCUGCAUCUCAGCUCGAUCUAGAAGAAGCUCUUCAAGCUUCCAGAAACGCUAGUCAAUCAUACUCUACUCAUCGCAGAGAGUGGCCACCUUUGUUAGAGGUGGGUGAUACUGGGGAAUUUCCUUCUGUAUGUAAUACAGCAGGCGGUGAAGGCACGGCUUUGGAUUUUUUUCCAAAGAUUCGACGGGUUUGGGCAUCCGUGGACAAUUCUCUGUUUCUGUGGCGUUUCAACAAAAGCUAUUCAGGACAGGGUCUUCAUCUUCCUGAUGUACUCGUAGAAGUCGAAAAGUGUGGAUCCUAUUUUGACGAGUUGCUAGCAGUUCCUGAACACGAUGAUUGGAUAUAUAGCGAUGGGAAAUCAACUUCUUGUAUCACUUUCAUCCUCGAAAUGUACAAAGAAGGUGGCUUGUUUGAUCCAAUCUCUAGUUCCAUCCAAGUUGCUGAAUUCACGAUCAAGGAUGCUUACAUGCUCAAGUUUUUUUAGAACAAUGCAAGCUGUUUGCCUAAAUGGUGUAACGACAACAAUGAUGUAAAGCUACCGCACUGUCAAAUCCUUGGGAAAUACAGAAUGGAGCUUCCCGGUUACAACACUAUGGAGCCACACCCGCAUACGAACGAGCACUGCUCGUCUCUGCGUGACUGCGUCCAAAGUACCAUAGACCAAAGAACUGCUAGAACAAAUAUAUUAAGUGUUGUCUGUUUGUUAGGAAUGACUUGGUGUAAUGAUCCACGAAUAUUUAGGGAAUAUUUAGAUUUGGCAGAACAUACA